UGUAAGCCUGUGAAGGUGUGCUGUGAGGCAUGCUGGAGGUAUCAGAAGUGCGAAUGCUGACAUAAGUAACGAUAAUGCGGGUGAAAACCCGCACGCCGGAAGACCAAGGGUUCCUGUCCAACGUUAAUCGGGGCAGGGUAAGGCGAGGCAGAAAUGCGUAGUCGAUGGGAAACGGGUAAUAUUCCCGUACUGGUGAUAAUUGCGAUGGGGGACGGAGAAGGCUAGGCUAUCCGGCGACGGUUGUCCCGGUUUAAGGAUGUAGGCAGGUGAAUUAGGCAAAUCCGGUUCACUAUAUGCUGAGGUCCGACGACGAGUCACUACGGUGAUGAAGUAGCUCAUGCCCCGCUUCCAGGAAAGCCUCUAAGCUCUAGGAUUAUCAUUAAUCGUACCCCCAAACCGACACAGGUGGUGGUAGAGAAUACCAGGCGCUUGAGAGAACUCGUGAAGGAACUAGGCAAAAUGGUGCCGUAACUGGGAGAAGCACGCUGGCAUUAGGUGAAGUGAACUCAUGGAGCUGAAGCCAGUCGCAGAUACCAGCUGGCUGCAACUGUUUAUUAAAAACACAGCACUGUGCAAACACGAAAGUGGACGUAUACGGUGUGACGCCGCCCGGUGCUGGAAGGUUAAUUGAUGGGGUUAUCCGUAAGGAGAAGCUCGAUCGAAGCCCCAGUAAACGGCGGCCGUAACUAUAACGGUCCUAAGGUAGCGAAAUUCUUGUCGGGUAAGUUCCGACCUGCACGAAUGGCGUAAUGAUGGCCAGGCUGUCUCCACCCGAGACUCAGUGAAAUUGAACUGCUGUGAAGAUGCAGUGUACCCGCGGCAAGACGGAAAGACCCCGUGAACCUUUACUAUAGCUUGACACUGAACAUUGAGCCUUGAUGUGUAGGAUAGGUGGGAGGCUUGAAGCGUGGACGCCAGUCUGCGUGGAGCCAACCUUGAAAUACCACCCUUAAUGUUUGAUGUUCUAACGUUGCCCCGUUAUCCGUGCGGACAGUGUCUGGUGGGUAGUUUGACUGGGGCGGUCUCCCAAAGAGUAACGGAGGAGCACGAAGGUUGGCUAAGCAUGGUCGGACAUCAUGCGGUUAGUGCAAAGGCAUAAGCCAGCUUGACUGCGAGAGUGACGGCUCGAGCAGGUACGAAAGUAGGUCUUAGUGAUCCGGUGGUUCUGAAUGGAAGGGCCAUCGCUCAACGGAUAAAAGGUACCCUGGGAUAACGGCAGAGUUCAAGAUCAUAUCGACCCUGAUGUCGGCUCAUCACAUCCUGGGGCUGAAGUAGGUCCUAAGGGUACGGCUGUUCGCCGUUUAAAGUGGUACGCGAGCUGGGUUUAGAACGUCGUGAGACAGUUCGGUCCCUAUCUGCCGUGGGCGUUGGAAGAUUGAAAGGGCUGCUCCUAGUACGAGAGGACCGGAGUGGACGCACCACUGGUGUUCGGGUUGUCAUGCCAAUGGCAUUGCCCGGUAGCUAAGUGCGGAAGAGAUAACCGCUGAAAGCAUCUAAGCGGGAAACUUGCCUUGAGAUGAGUCUUCCCUGACUCUUUAAGGGUCCUAAAGGAACGUUUAAGACUAAGACGUUGAUAGGUUGGGUGUAAGCGUAGCGAUACGUUGAGCUAACCAAUACUAAUGAACCGUGAGGCUUAACCUG
rnacentral:rRNA from 1 species